rnacentral:rRNA from 1 species
CUUCGGUGGGGAUUAGUGGCGAACGGGUGAGUAACACGUGGGCAAUCUGCCCUUCACUCUGGGACAAGCCCUGGAAACGGGGUCUAAUACCGGAUACCACUCGCGCAGGCAUCUGUGCGGGUUGAAAGCUCCGGCGGUGAAGGAUGAGCCCGCGGCCUAUCAGCUUGUUGGUGAGGUAACGGCUCACCAAGGCGACGACGGGUAGCCGGCCUGAGAGGGCGACCGGCCACACUGGGACUGAGACACGGCCCAGACUCCUACGGGAGGCAGCAGUGGGGAAUAUUGCACAAUGGGCGCAAGCCUGAUGCAGCGACGCCGCGUGAGGGAUGACGGCCUUCGGGUUGUAAACCUCUUUCAGCAGGGAAGAAGCGCAAGUGACGGUACCUGCAGAAGAAGCGCCGGCUAACUACGUGCCAGCAGCCGCGGUAAUACGUAGGGCGCAAGCGUUGUCCGGAAUUAUUGGGCGUAAAGAGCUCGUAGGCGGCUUGUCACGUCGGGUGUGAAAGCCCGGGGCUUAACCCCGGGUCUGCAUUCGAUACGGGCAGGCUAGAGUGUGGUAGGGGAGAUCGGAAUUCCUGGUGUAGCGGUGAAAUGCGCAGAUAUCAGGAGGAACACCGGUGGCGAAGGCGGAUCUCUGGGCCAUUACUGACGCUGAGGAGCGAAAGCGUGGGGAGCGAACAGGAUUAGAUACCCUGGUA